AAAGAUAGCUCAGCUAUCAGUAGCAGCAGGACUUGUGGGGAACUUGUGGUCCUUCAGAUGUUGGCAGACUCCACCUCACAUUAGCUCACAGCCCGCGUGUCCAGUCACCAGGGCUGCUGGAGUUGUAGUCCAGCCAUAUCUUGAGGACAAUGAGUUCCACCAUCCAUGGGUUACAGAAUCUGUGUCUGAAGCACUUUUUUGAGUAACCAAGCUGGGUCUGAGCUGUGACAAGAUGCUCUCACAGACGUGGAAUUCCACUGGAAUGCGUGAAAUGCCGUACUGGGACUUCCGGGUUAGCGCCUCCGGCAAUGGCGGAAUUCCUCUGAUCGGGAGGAAUCUGCUCCGUGGAAAUCAGGGUCUGGCCGCCACGGCGAAGGCGGAGACCCACUAAAAACCACAGGCGGGAGAAGCUUGUGGACGUGGGAUUCGGCUGGCACCUUUUGCGCCUCCCCUACUCGCGGGGAAACCCGGUUUCGGGGUUCCGGAGCGACGUGGGGUGAGUGGCGCGGUGUUUCGACUCGACUGCUUCUUUCACGGAGUGAAGCCGCAUUGCUGUUGCUGGAGAGCGCUGACUUUUUCCUGUGGACAAUUUGAUCUUAAAACAACUACCCGUGAGUAGAACGGAAAAUUGGAUUUUUAAACGUCUUAAUUUGGCACCGAAACGGGGAGGUUUCAAACAGGAAGUCCGCCUUCCCCUUUUGUAAAUAGAUUGAAGCAAAGAGGCUGCAAGCUAAAGCCUUGGAAAGUCUCUCAUAAAGGAUUAAACUUCCAUCGGUUAAAUCAUCAAACCCCCCUUGGAAGCAGGAGAAGAGGGGGGAAAUUUAAGAUCGCGUAAGCCUGCAGGAGAGAGUGAAGAAAGUCAAAUUACCACCGCUCUGAACCUGGAAACGGGCUGCUAGUAAGAUUGAAGUUUUGGAUAUGCUCAUUGACUGUGAAUAGAUCGUCUGCUGACAGUAAGUUAAAGAAGAGAAAUACAUUGUUUCCAUUGUCUCCUUCUGCGUUUAAAAAGGAGUAAAAGUAACUGAAAAUUGAAACUAACUUUAUUGUUUGAACUGUGCUUAAAAGGAUUGAUACAAAUAGAAAUUGUUUCCCUCUAGAGGAAGCCUUUGAAAUUGUUACAAGAGCUGAGCUGGGGGAAUUCCCACCUGCAAGAUAAAACUGUGAGAAUCUGGGAUUGACCUUGAACCGUUAAGAAUGUUGACAGAAGAAGCCUUAGUGGUUGCAUUUUGUAAGAUUAAUGAUUCACUGGAACAGCUUUAUAAGAAGACGGAUGCGAGGACUAUAAAAAUUGAUAACUUGGAACAAAAAGUGAUUAAUUUGGCACAAAAAGUCAAUAUCAAUACAGAAAUUAUUCAGGAAUCGAUACAGGGAUCUAUUUUGACAUGGCAAAUUGAGGAGAAGGCGGGGGAGAAAGCUUUUGCUGUGGAACCUAAAGUGGCACAAGUGGUGAGGGAGAGAGCCCCAGCCUUACAGUUGCAAUUUGAUGAUUAUAAGUUGAUGCCUUUCAAGACUGAAUUUAGAGAAAGUCAGACUUUUAGGAUUGGAGCCCCGCUUGGACUGGAGAAAGAAAGUUGGAUAGAUCCCCUCAUGCAGGGGUUUAUUGACCUUUGGGACCUGGACUUGGGUCAGGAGGAGACUGGAGUUGUGGGGACCGCCAGACUUGGAGGAACUUUGAAACACGACUGGAAAUAUCUUUUGAAUUUCAGUUCUAACUAUGGAGAUUUGGCUGACUUGUCGAGAAGGAAUAAAAACAUUGCUAGAUGGGAAUUUCCCGGAGAUCUACUUUUCAGUAUCAAAGGAAGGAAAAUAAGAACAAGAUCAGGAGAAGACAAAGUAAAGUGCAUGUAUAAACAUGAAGAAGACUUGCAGAAGGGACCUGGAAAAGAGUUAAGAGCCUCAGACAGAAGAUCACCAGGUUGAUGGGCUAUAUGGAAUUGACGGAAAUGACUGGCAGAACCCGAGACCAGGGAGAAGAGACGGUGGAAGAAUAUUGGAAAAAGUUUAAAUCUAUAUAUGGAAAUAAUGUAAAAUUAAUGAGUGUUAGAAAAAUGUUGGAAGGGAAUUAUACGGCUUUAGUAGAAAUAUUUUAAGGAAUUAAGUAUAAAUAAGUAUUAUAGUAUUAAUGGAAAAUAAGGUUAAAAUACGUUAAGAUAAUUACAUGACAGAAAAUAGAGAAAGAUGGAAAGGAUUUGCUGAAACAAUUAAUAGAAAUGGAAUACAAAAAGGGAGGUGAGAGAAGGUCGAUGAAACAAGGGAAUGAAAGAGAGGAUAUUGAGAUGGUAUGAUGUGUGUUUUUUGAAUUGUUUUUGCUUUUGUUUUGUUUAAUGUGUUAAUGUUAAUGUUGCGUUCUGUAUUGUUUAUAUAUUGUAUUGUAUUGUUUUUUCUUUUGCUUUUCUUCUUCUUCUUUUCUUUUUUCUUUUCUUUUCUUCUUCUUCUUGUAAGGUUUAAAAGCAAUAAAUUUUUUUUUUUUAAAAAAAGAAAUGGCGUACUGAAGGGGAAAUGUAAAAUCUCAAAGCUUGCACAGCUUUGCAUAAGCAUUUCCCAAACUUGGGUGUUUUUGGACUACCGAUCUCAUCAUCCCUGACCACUGGUCCUGCUAGCUAGGGAUGAUGGGAGUUGUAGUCCCAAAAUAGCUGGAGACCCAAGUUUGGGAAACACUGGUUUAGAUGAACUGGGAGUUUUGCCUGCUUAGAAAUCUUCCUAUUAACUACACAGAAAAAAACAAAUAGCCAUCUCUGCUGAUUCUAUAAUUUAAUGUUUGGGUGCCUCAUGUCUCUCUCUCUCUCUCUCUCUCUCUCUCUCUCUCUCUCUCUGGUGUUCUUCCUACUUCUGGAGUUAGAAUUCCACCCUUUGCUACCUCAUUGAAAAAACAAUACCACGUUUUUGCAUUUGCAGAGCUGCACCCUAGUGAAAUGGGGAAACUUGAGAGGGGAGGGAGGAAGUGAAAGUACCAGUGCAUAUACCACAGGCUGCUUCUUAAAUCUACUUGCCUGUGUCUGCAGCUCAUUUUACCACCGCCACCCAUGUUGCCAUUUCCUGUGGGAGUGAGGAGUAGAAAGUUGGCAUCCGCACCACCUUCUCCCAUAGUUGGAGAAAGGUGGUGGCAGUCUCUGAGAUUCAGAGAGAGGUAGGGUGACUUCACAUAGCUGCAAUUCCCAGGAAAGAAGAAUUGACUGUAAACAACUCUGAGAAAUGUAUCUUUAUGAAGGGAGCACGGAUCUCCUAUGAGCUCUCAGCAUCCUUGACAAACUACAGUUUCCAGGAUCCUUUGGGGGAGGUGAUGACUAUUUAGAGUGGUAUGUCUAGUGCAGAUGGGGCCUAUAUCUGGUCUUUAUUGAGCAUUCCUCCAUAUAUGUUUAUAGGAUGGUUAUAUGAUGAUUGCAUUCAUCCUGAUUUACUUAUAGGGUGUUUACUUGCCUUCCCCUUAGUCAUUUGUUCUUUAUACAGUAAUAGUUCAUGAGUGGUAGCUUCAUUCUGCUUUCUUAGUUGCUCUGUGAUGCUUCUCCAAACGUUACUGCACCCCUUGCACUAAUUUCACAAUGAAAGUUGGACAACCUACCCCUCUGGUAAGAAAGUUUUGGUAAGGUUACCAGAUGUCCCCGUUUCCCGGGGACAGUCGCCAGAUUUACAAAUCAGUCCCCAGACAAAAUCCAUCCAUUCUGACUGAAGUUGAAAAGUGAAGUUGAAAAGUCCCCGGAUUCAUUGAAAAAAAAUCUGGUAACCUUAGGUUACCAGAUUUUGGCAGGAAGUUAUGGCAUAUGCAGAUUGGAAAUGAAGCAGUUUUGACCAAUGUAAACAGUACUGAAAGCGGGAUUGUGUAUGACUGCCCCAUCAGCACCACAAGCACAAAUCAUCAUGAAUGUGCAAUAGAAAGGUUGCUUGGUAAAGGUACCCCUGACAAUUAAGUCCAGUCGCAAACGACUCUGGGGUUGCGGCACUCAUCUCGCUUUACAGGCUGAGGGAGCCGCCGUUUGUCCACUUCCACAGAGAGUUUUUCCGGGUCAUGUGGCCAGCAUGACUAAGCUGCUUCUGGCAAACCAGAGCAGCGCACGGAAACACCGUUUACCUUCCCACCAGAGUGGUACCUAUUUAUCUACUUGCACUUUGACGUGCUUUCGAACUGCUAGGUUGGCAAGAGCAGGGACUGAACAACGGGAGCUCACCCCAUCGUGGGGAUUCGAACCACCAACCUUUCGAUCAGCAAGCCCAAGCAGCACAGUGGUUUAAUCGACAUAUCCCUAGGUUGCUUGGAGGACCCCCUAAAAUUCUGGUAUAGGCUUGAAUCCCUCCUGCAAAAAUUCUGUUACAUGCCACCCCUAUCUCUGAGUGGUACAAGAUUCCAGGGGCAACACGUGUGGUUUAAUUAACUUAAUUAACACUUAAAUUCCUAGGAUUUAGAGGUGUCCAAUAUACAACUGGAGAAGUUUGCCUCUGUUAAUCAACUCUUCACACAUGCUAAUUCCAGGGGAUUAAUAGCUAAUACACAUUUAAAUACACAUGAGCCUGGCUACCCAAGGAAAUUACAGCCAGAUCUAAAUUGAAUUCUAGCACCUAUAAAUCUGUAACAAUACUAACCGUUUGGAGGCAGCUCUUCUUCUAUAUGGAUCAGUCAGGCAUGGGUGGUGCAGCUCAGCAAUUUCCUUGUUCCAAAGCACACGUCCCCAAGGAGCUUCCCCACCGCCACCAUUGGGUCUUAAAGGUUGGCCAACAUGCAUUUGGAAUCCCGUAAGCUAUGGUUUUCCCAGUAGUGAUGUAUGGAAGUGAGAGCUGGACAAUAAAGAAGGCCGAUCGCCGAAGAAUCGAUGCUUUUGAAUUAUGGUGCUGGAAGAGACUCUUGAGAGUCCCAUGGACUGCAAGAAGAUCAAACCUAUCCAUUCUGAAGGAAAUCAGCCCUGAGUGCUCACUGGAAGGACAGAUCCUGAAGCUGAGGCGCCAAUACUUUGGCCACCUCAUAAGAAGAGAAGACUCCCUGGAAAAGACCCUGAUGUUGGGGAAGAUGGAGGGCACAAGGAGAAGGGGACGACAGAGGACGAGAUGGUUGGACAGUGUUCUCGAAGCUACCAGCAUGAGUUUGACCAAACUGUGGGAGGCAGUGGAAGACAGGAGUGCCUGGUGUGCUCUGGUCCAUGGGGUCACGAAGAGUCGGACAUGACUAAACGACUAAACAACAACAACAAUGUUGGGGGAAAUUACUUCAGGGGGAGGGUGGCAGGGAAAGAGGUUAUUUACGGCAAGGAAAUCUGCCUCUUCCUCCUCCCCCACCAGGGCCAGAUUUAGGUUUGAUGAGGCCUUAGCUACUGUAGUGAAUGCCAUGUUUGUAUGGGCCGCAAGAUGGCCCAUACAAAAUGGAUGCUGUUAAUAAACUAAUAAAGAACUGUGUUAAUCAAAGAGCUACUGGAAUGUGCAUGUUGUGGCCAAGUGAAUGGCGCAUGCAAGGCAGCGUAAAGGCUGGCUAUGCAAUGCUAGUCUCAAACAAUGAGUGUUGCAACAUGCCACAAAGUACAGAACACCAGGUUCGAACAAUGAGAGUUGUGAUAUGCCAGGAACAUGCUAAGGACAAAGGACUGCCAAGAACAUGCCAAAGACAGUCAGAAAUGCUAGGAUUCAGAUGAACACCCAAAAGGACUAUAUAAGAUGAGACUUUUCAGAUAGGUCUGUGUGCCGGACAUACGACAGCGCUGGCGUCCGCCACCCAUAACUCUUACUGGAAACUGAUGAAUUCCAGUGAAGAGUGGCAAGUAUGGAUGAGUGUGUGGUUGUGUGCGUAACUAAGUGCAUGUUCCCUGUCUUGGUAUAUGUUAUGUUUGUUAAUAAUAAAUUAUAUUGUA